rnacentral:lncRNA from 1 species
UCUAUACUCGAGCACUUUUCAUUUACACACUAGCGUCAGUUCAAAAAACUUGAAUGGACAUUGCUCAAUAUGCGAGAAUCCACUGUAAUUGGAAGUCCCCAGUGAGAUGCCAUUUGCAGAAACACCUCUCCAUAUAGCUGCUUCCAAAGCCCGGACCAGCCUUGCUCUUGAAAUCUCGAGGCUAAAGCCUACACUAGGGAGGAAAUUGAACCUUGAUGGUCGCACCUCUUUGGACCUGUCUUUGCGUAAUAGACACAUCACCACUGUGAAGCGGCUUGUCAGACAUAAUCCGGACCUCGUUUGUGUCCCAGGGAGGGAAGGAAUCACUCCAUUGCAUUAUGCAGCGGAAUCAGAUGAAACUGCUGUGCGUAUUGCAGUCAGAAACAAAAACUUAAAAGAGGUUCAUAGAAGUGACGACAUAGCAGUUAUAAGAUUUAGAGAUGAGCAAGGCAAUACAGUGCUGCAUCUUCUUGCAGCAUUAACUCACUAGCUGCAGGUAUUAUCAUUCGACUCAACCUCCAUUCAUCUAUUAUAGAGAAUACCACUAUACCUAGAUAGAACACAAAAUGUUAUGUUGAGAGCAUUAAAUCCAUCAUCCAUCUAUGGUAUUACUGUUCGUAGAAUUGUUCUUUUCCCCAUUGCGGACUAAAUAAAAUGUGUCAACAGCUGACGUGGCCAUGCAAAUUAAACCGUCGUUGUUGACGAAUUUCAGGUAUAAUGUUGACGAAGAUGUUAAUCAAAGUGGGUGCUCAUAUGCAAUUCAGUUUGUGAACACAUUGGCCUAUGGCAUGGCCAUUUGAACAUAUGCUCUACCCACAUAUAAAUUUAAUCCACUCAUUUCGUUUCUCUACUUUCCUCUCGGCAUCUUUUCCUUCAGCUAUGGAGUUUCAAUUAUGGUCGUUUAAAUUCAUCUAAUAUAAGGUUGCAAUAUAUUGCAUUUUCAUACACUCAUAGAGAACUCGCACUAAAACUCUUGAACUCUUGUAACAUGUUUAAUAUGGAGUACUAAACAUGAUAAAAAUGAAAAAAAAAAAUUAAAAUCUUAUAUGUAUAUAUUAUGUGAAGAAUUUGGAUCCUAAACAUAACCUUAUACUUUUACUACGAAAUGUUUGGGACACCUUUUUAUUUAUUAGCUCUUCAUUGUAGUCUUCAUUAUUUUGAAUUGUAUUGAGUUGAACAUGUUUAAUGAGGAACAAAUUUGAAAUUUUAUUGAUGGUACGAUGUUUAAUUUCUGUGAGAAAUUUGGUGUGUAGAGGUACAACAAACACUCCAAGGUUGUAGUUAAUGUAACAUUGGAGGGAAGUCCUGGGCCAAUCCGAACAAUGGUGAAAUUAGGAUCCAGUGUUGAGGAGAUGAUAAAGCUUGUGAUUAGAAAGUACAACUCGGAAGGCCGCACUCCUCGUCCGGAUAAAGAUUUUGCUUCGAGAUGUGAAUUACACCACUCGUACUUCAGCGUUCAAUGUGAGUUAUUCAUUUGAUUUUUAACUAUUUCUUGGUUUUUUCUUAUACCAAAUGAAUAAUUACUCUGACAUGCCAUCCUAAUGUUGCUGCUUAUUGAAAGUGAUUGACAGUAAAUGAAAUGAUGAGUGUUGUUAAUUCUUGAAAACAUUGUAUAGCCUAUGUUUCAAUGGAAUUAAAAUUAUAUUUUCAGUAAACUUGAUAAAAGUUAAUGAGAUAUGUGAUUGAAAAGUUGUGGAUUCCAUAAAAUAUAUUGUUAUAAUUAAUUGUUGACUUUAUCUUAAAUUAAACCAAAUAGGGGCAUAAAGAAAUCAUUUCCAACUAGAAAGAUAUGCAAUCUUAAACUCUCUUAAAAAAUGAAAAAAAAAUUCAAAAUCCUGAGCUUGAAAUAUGUUAACUUAAGCAUCAAGGAAUUUUUCUAGUUAAGCGCUCAUAUGAUAAUUUUUGCUAUGAUAAAAUAAUAUUUUAUGAAAAAUAAAUUGUAAUUUUAUUUAUUUUUUAUAUUUAUUUAUUAUUGAAAAUGCGAAUUAAAGUAUCUAUGAUUACUCGAAAUAAUAUAAGUUAGAUACUUGCAUUGAGAAAAACAAUGUGACACAAUUUAUAUUUUGAUCAUAAAUAAAUUGUUUACAACCAAUAUAUAAGGGUAGGCACGUCGUGUUAAAAGAUUGUAGUGUUGAACAAUUCAAUAGCCAGAUUUAUGAUUUGUGCUUAUUUCAAAAAUAGUUAAAGGUGUAUUACACUUGGAAUGCAUUGAAAUGAUCACGUGUCGAGUUUAAUUCUAUAGCAUGACAGUACAAAGAAUUCAAUUCCACAUGAUUUUCAUGUAUUUUAUCUAAACUCAACACAAUUGUGUCUAUCUUUUUGUAAUUAUAAUGAUUCUCUUAUUAACCAAUAAUUUUUUUAUAAAUUUUAUCAGUCAAAUAUCUCGAUAAAUUGAGAGAUUAAAAACGAGCUAAGUAGAGAAUUGGAUUUUGUGACGGGAACCAUCAUCAUGAAAAAUGAGUAAAGUGAUUGUUUAAGUAUUUCUGUUGAGCAAUUAAAACCUGGACACUGUGUUUUGCUAUGACUAAAUUUCGACAUAUGUUAUUGGUUCACAAAACCAUUGCAGAAAAAUGGUACCUAAAUUAGUGAGAAUAAUUAGAAGGGUAAAAUAAUCAUUUAUGCCUGUAUCAAGUUAAUGGAUUUCGAACGGAAAAAAAAUACAUGCAAGGAAGGUUAGAGAAAAGUAUAUAUUGACUUCUGAUAUUGUAUAUAUUUCUAAUGUGUCGUCUUUUUCCUUUAAUGAAAAAAUAAAAACUAAUGAUUAGAUUAUGUAGUAUGGGGUCAACUAAAUAUGAUCUAAUUAUUGAAAUUUGAAUAAUACAAAUUCAACUAGAUCUCGUGGUAGCUCCAUAAUGUAUUGAGAUU